GCCGCGUGUGUGAAGAAGGCCUUCGGGUUGUAAAGCACUUUCAGUUGUGAGGAAAAGUUAGUAGUUAAUACCUGCUAGCCGUGACGUUAACAACAGAAGAAGCACCGGCUAACUCCGUGCCAGCAGCCGCGGUAAUACGGAGGGUGCGAGCGUUAAUCGGAAUUACUGGGCGUAAAGCGCACGCAGGCGGUUUGUUAAGCUAGAUGUGAAAGCCCCGGGCUCAACCUGGGAUGGUCAUUUAGAACUGGCAGACUAGAGUCUUGGAGAGGGGAGUGGAAUUCCAGGUGUAGCGGUGAAAUGCGUAGAUAUCUGGAGGAACAUCAGUGGCGAAGGCGACUCCCUGGCCAAAGACUGACGCUCAUGUGCGAAAGUGUGGGUAGCGAACAGGAUUAGAUACCCUGGUAGUCCACACCGUAAACGCUGUCUACUAGCUGUGUGUGCCUUUAAGGCGUGCGUAGCGAAGCUAACGCGCUAAGUAGACCGCCUGGGGAGUACGGCCGCAAGGUUAAAACUCAAAUGAAUUGACGGGGGCCCGCACAAGCGGUGGAGCAUGUGGUUUAAUUCGAUGCAACGCGAAGAA
rnacentral:rRNA from 1 species